rnacentral:lncRNA from 1 species
UUUAAAUCUUUGGAGACAGGUACCUAGUUUUCCUUGUGUUAUCAAUUUGAUUUCCAUAAAACUUUUAUUUAUUCUAUUAGUACUAGAGACAAUCUUUUUCGUUCUUGUUCUUUUGCUUUUCUUUUUUUUCUCUUUUUUUUUGAAGAAGUUAUUUUAACUUCUUCAUUUCUUUUUGAUAAUUUUUUUUAUCAGUUUCUCUAGUACCUGUAGCACCUCAAAUU